rnacentral:lncRNA from 1 species
CAGGAAUCACGAAAGUAAUGAAAAAUAAAUCAUGAGAGCUCCCAAGAAUAUCAUUGCCAUAAUAGCAAGAGUAAUCUUGGGGAUCAAUUGGAAAUCGAUGACUCAAUCAACCCUUGCAUAACUGAUUGCAUGUCAGAGGCAACCGCAAUCGAAGAGCUAGACAGCUUUUCUAUAAGCUAAGAAGAUGCGAGCUAUGCUCUAAAAAUUGGCAAGGAAUUAAGCAGACCUAUGAAACGCUUCCUGGCAGCGAAUUACAUUCUGGGAUGAUUCUCCCUUUGUUUUCUAAAAGCUCAACUUUAAUAACUCUCCGUACGUUGGCAACAAUCACAAUUUUGCAUAAAUUAAUGAAAUCUUUAAAUAAAGAAGGGUGGUAGAAACUCAAUUGCAAGAAUUUUUUUUCCGCUGUUGUUGAAGACUCAAAAUUCUCCCAUAAGAUGAUGUUUGGCAAUGCUCCAAAAUUUGUAAGAUUCGUCCUCCAGCACCCAUGUCCAGAUGAUGUGAUCUUGCCAGUGCCUGUAUAGAAUAUGAUUCUCCUAAAAGCAAUAUUUUAACUUGGAGAAGAAUUUCC